CGGAGGGAUCAUUAAAGAGUUCUAUAACUCCCAAACCCAUGUGAACAUACCUAACGUUGCCUCGGCAGGUCGCACCUACCUUGUAGCACCCUACCCUGUAGGGCCUACCCGGGAGGUGCGGGUAAGCCUGCCGGCGGCCCACCAAACUCUGUUUGAUAUUGAAUUCUGAACCUAUAACUAAAUAAGUUAAAACUUUCAACAACGGAUCUCUUGGUUCUGGCAUCGAUGAAGAACGCAGCGAAAUGCGAUAAGUAAUGUGAAUUGCAGAAUUCAGUGAAUCAUCGAAUCUUUGAACGCAUAUUGCGCCCAUUAGUAUUCUAGUGGGCAGGACCGUUCGAGCGUCAUUUCAACCCUUAAGCCUUCGUUGCUUAGUGUUGGGAGCCUACGGCAACGUAGCUCCUCAAAGUUAGUGGCGGAGUUGGUUCACACUCUAGACGUAGUAAUUUUUUAUCUCGCCUAUUAGUUGGACUAAUCCCCUGCCGUAAAACCCCCAAUUUAUCAAGGUUGACCUCGAAUCGGUUCAGACAAACUCGCUAAAUUGAAGCAUCUUAGUCAGCGAAGGAAAAGAAACCAACAGGGAUUGCCCUAGUAACGGCGAGUGAAGCGGCAACAGCU
rnacentral:rRNA from 1 species